GGGAGGGAGGUAGAGGAGGAGGCAGAGACCUGAUAACACAAGACUGGUGGAAGCUAGGGAGGGAGGGAGGUAGAGGGGGAGGCAGAGACCUGAUAACACAAGACUGGGGGAAGCUAGGGAGGGAGGGAGGGAGGUAGAGGAGGAGGCAGAGACCUGAUAACACAAGGCUGGGGGAAGAUAGGGUGGGAGGGAGGUAGAGGGGGAGGCAGAGACCUGAUAACACAAGGCUAGAGGAAGCUAGGGUGGGAGGGAGGUAGAGGGGGAGGCAGAGACCUGA
rnacentral:lncRNA from 1 species